rnacentral:rRNA from 1 species
GAUGAACGCUGGCGGCGUGCCUAAUACAUGCAAGUCGAGCGAACGGACGAGAAGCUUGCUUCUCUGAUGUUAGCGGCGGACGGGUGAGUAACACGUGGAUAACCUACCUAUAAGACUGGGAUAACUUCGGGAAACCGGAGCUAAUACCGGAUAAUAUUUUGAACCGCAUGGUUCAAAAGUGAAAGACGGUCUUGCUGUCACUUAUAGAUGGAUCCGCGCUGCAUUAGCUAGUUGGUAAGGUAACGGCUUACCAAGGCAACGAUGCAUAGCCGACCUGAGAGGGUGAGCGGCCACACUGGAACUGAGACACGGUCCAGACUCCUACGGGAGGCAGCAGUAGGGAAUCUUCCGCAAUGGGCGAAAGCCUGACGGAGCAACGCCGCGUGAGUGAUGAAGGUCUUCGGAUCGUAAAACUCUGUUAUUAGGGAAGAACAUAUGUGUAAGUAACUGUGCACAUCUUGACGGUACCGAAUCAGAAAGCCACGGCUAACUACG